GACGAACGCUGGCGGCGUGCCUAAUACAUGCAAGUCGAGCGAAGUUUUUCUGGUGCUUGCACCGGAAAAACUUAGCGGCGAACGGGUGAGUAACACGUAAAGAACCUGCCUUAUAGACUGGGACAACUAUUGGAAACGAUAGCUAAUGCCGGAUAACAGCAUUAACUGCAUGGUUGAUGUUUGAAAGUUGGUUUUGCUAACACUAUGAGAUGGCUUUGCGGUGCAUUAGCUAGUUGGUGGGGUAAAGGCCUACCAAGGCGACGAUGCAUAGCCGACCUGAGAGGGUGAUCGGCCACACUGGGACUGAGACACGGCCCAGACUCCUACGGGAGGCAGCAGUAGGGAAUCUUCCGCAAUGGGCGAAAGCCUGACGGAGCAACGCCGCGUGAGUGAAGAAGGAUUUCGGUUCGUAAAGCUCUGUUGUUAGGGAAGAAUGAUUGUGUAGUAACUAUACACAGUAGAGACGGUACCUAACCAGAAAGCCACGGCUAACUACGUG
rnacentral:rRNA from 1 species